rnacentral:lncRNA from 1 species
CCGACUAAAGGUAUAACCUUUUAGGUCAAGCCGACUUAUGUUAACGAGACUUAACCUAGUCGACAUCCGACUAACUAAGAUCGAUGGGACCAGACCCAGUCGGCAUUCAACCGAUUUGGUUCGACAUACAAUCGACAACUAGCUGGGCUGGUCUGUAUAGUCGGCACUCGACCAACGACUUACUCAGUGCUACACUGACUAAGGAACAAACGACAGUUAUUCAACAUAAACAUUAACUAUACGU